UACGGAGGGUGCAAACGUUGCUCGGAAUCAUUGGGCGUAAAGCGCACGUAGGCGGCUCGUUAAGUCGGAUGUGAAAGCCCCGGGCUCAACCCGGGAAGUGCAUUCGAAACUGGCGCGCUUGAAUAUGGAAGAGGGUCGCGGAAUUCCCGGUGUAGAGGUGAAAUUCGUAGAUAUCGGGAGGAACACCAGUGGCGAAGGCGGCGACCUGGGCCAAUAUUGACGCUGAGGUGCGAAAGCGUGGGGAGCAAACAGG
rnacentral:rRNA from 1 species